GCCAGUGUGGUGUAGUGGUUUGAGUGUUCGACUGCAACUCUGGGGACCUGGGUUCAAUUCCCUGCUUGGCCA